rnacentral:snRNA from 1 species
GGAUGUGAGGGCAACCUGGCUAUGACAUUUGUCACCCCAUUGGUUGCCAGGGUUGAUUUGGCAGAUCUGACUGGCUAGGUAGGUGUCCUCUUCCUCCCUCACCACUCCAUGUGCGUCCCUCCCUAAGCUGGGUGCUCAGUCGAAGAGGAUGACCUUCCCGAGUAGAGGAGGACUGGUCUUUGGUCAAGAGUAUCGAGUAGCUACGCUCCCCUUGCUAGAACCUCCAAACAAGCUGUCAAGGUCUUUAAUUGAAAGAUAAAAGUAAAUCUCUGUCAUGUUGAUGAUUUUGUGGAGUUUGGGGUUUUCUUCAUCUUUAU